rnacentral:rRNA from 1 species
ACAUGCAAGUCGAACGGUAACAGAACUAGCUUGCUAGUUGCUGACGAGUGGCGGACGGGUGAGUAAUGCUUAGGGAUCUGCCUUUAGGAGGGGGAUAACCAUUGGAAACGAUGGCUAAUACCGCAUAAUGUCUACGGACCAAAGGGGGCUUUCGGGCUCUCACCUAGAGAGGAACCUAAGUGAGAUUAGCUAGUUGGUGAGGUAAAGGCUCACCAAGGCGACGAUCUCUAGCUGUUCUGAGAGGAAGAUCAGCCACACUGGAACUGAGACACGGUCCAGACUCCUACGGGAGGCAGCAGUGGGGAAUAUUGCACAAUGGGGGAAACCCUGAUGCAGCCAUGCCGCGUGUGUGAAGAAGGCCUUCGGGUUGUAAAGCACUUUCAGUUGUGAGGAAAGGUUAGUAGUUAAUACCUGCUAGCUGUGACGUUAGCAACAGAAGAAGCACCGGCUAACUCCGUGCCAGCAGCCGCGGUAAUACGGAGGGUGCAAGCGUUAAUCGGAAUUACUGGGCGUAAAGCGCACGCAGGCGGUUUGUUAAGCUAGAUGUGAAAGCCCCGGGCUCAACCUGGGAUGGUCAUUUAGAACUGGCAGACUAGAGUUCUGGAGAGGGGAGUGGAAUUCCAGGUGUAGCGGUGAAAUGCGUAGAUAUCUGGAGGAACAUCAGUGGCGAAGGCGACUCUCUGGCCAAAGACUGACGCUCAUGUGCGAAAGUGUGGGUAGCGAACAGGAUUAGAUACCCUGGUAGUCCACACUGUAAACGCUGUCUACUAGCUGUUUGUGAAUUUAAUUCGUGAGUAGCGAAGCUAACGCGCUAAGUAGACCGCCUGGGGAGUACGGCCGCAAGAUUAAAACUCAAAUGAAUUGACGGGGGCCCGCACAAGCGGUGGAGCAUGUGGUUUAAUUCGAUGCAACGCGAAGAACCUUUACCUACUCUUGACAUCCAGAGAAGCCAGCGGAGACGCAGUGUGCCUUUCGGGAGCUCUGAGACAAGGUGCUGCAUGGCUGUCGUCAGCUCGUGUGUGAAAUGUGGCUAGUCCCGCACGAGCGCACCUAUCCUUGUUUGCCAGCGAGUAAUUGUCGG